UCUUCUACCUCGCUACUCCAUCUCCACAGCCCCAAAGAAGGGAUGAGUUAUCAGGAAAAAAGGCGUUUAAGCUGAGGGAAAAAGCUUUCUUUUCCCCAAUUGCCUGUGUUUGAAUUGAAGAGAAAUCCACUUCCCCUGCAAUUUUGAUAGUCUCAAUUGGAGGUAACUCUGCCUUUUCUGUGCUGUUAGAGAUAUUAAUUGAUAGAGAAUGCCCAUUUUUUAUUUUUUUCCACUUUAAGUGGAAAGGGAAAGCAGGGAUGAUGCUUUUUUAUGGAUCUGAAUUAACCAAAAAAUGCCCCCUUUUCAAUCACCAGAGAGAUUUAAAGUGAGGAAAACCACUCUUUUUCCCAAUAUUUGAUGGGUUUAAAUUAAAGAGGAGAAGCCAUUUAUUUACCACUGUAUCCAUUUAAGUGGAGGUAGCUGCCCCAUUUGCUCAUUUUUAGCGUUGCCUUUUCCAGCAUGUCCUGGGGUGACUUUAUGAUACUGGUAUCCCCAAUCGUCUGGUUUAUGUUAAAUAUUAAGUUCUGCACCUUUAAGACUGGCUCUGAAAGCGAGAGCGGGGGGGAAGAAGAAGCACGCCGUUUGCAUUAAGGAACAAACAUCACUCCCACACAUCCCGCUCCUGGACUGUGGUGUCUGCAGCACGGACAGACAGCGGGACAGAGCUUCUCUCUGGCUUUUAGUUGGUUUUAGCUAGCUGAGGCAGAGGAGUUCCCUGGACCUUUGUUUUUUUUUCCUUUUUUUGUUUCCUUGGAUCUGUGCAAACCUGCUCUGGACCGAACACCCGGCCAAACCCCGGGAGCUCACGCCUUUGGCCCACCGGGGCCCGGGCCUCGGCACUUUUCAGCGCCGGAAGGACCGAUAAGAACCCGAGCGAGGCGAGCUACACCACAUGAAAAGGACUUUUCUUCCUAGACUUGCCAUCCCAUCGAACAGUGAGAGGAGGAUUGCAGUUUCCUGAAGUUCUAGGUCACGUCAAGUGUGAUACUUCAGAUUCUCUCAGCAGAUUCAUCGUGACACAAAAGGGAACCGCUGCGGCAGCUUUCCUUAGCAGCAGAUCGGUCUCUCCGAUGGAUUCGCUUCGGAGAGAUAAGUCGAGGGCUGUGGUCACAGAGGGGAUCGAAGCAGGGUAGUGGGUUAGGAUUCACACCGGUUAGGGUUUUGAGUCAGCUAUGGGGAGGGGGAGGUUUGAGAACUGGCCUUUGGGGCCACUGUGAGGGAAAGGAACACUUUGGCUAACAAUGCUGAGGCGGGCAGGGCAGAGCAGUCCCAAGGUGUGUUGUCACUUGUCUGUUGUGCUUUCUGUGUCUUCUGUUCAUCUCGUGUAACAUGUCUCUUGCCUUAGUCCUCCCAGGAGCUUAUGAGAAACCCCAGGUCCUUCCGGUCAUCUCCCAUCUUUGCGUUCCUCGGCCCGGGGCCGAUGCCGGCGAAGUUUCGAUUCGGGAGGUCAGACAGGCGUCAGAAUCGCAUCUCUGUUCAGCAGCAUCCGAUCGGAUGUCUUUUUAGGUCUUGUUCUCAGCUGUGUUGACAGCUGUAUGCAGUAAUCUUUCUUUACAGUGGAUAAGGACUUGUGCCGAUUCAAAGGCAGGCAGAGGCUUCCAGCCACAGGAUUCUCAGGCAUCCGUCUCCGCGGUUCUCGGAAUAAGUCGUUCCGUUAGCAUCUUUUUCCUCCGGGGUCAUCCGAGCCCGGCGGGCUCGCCUUCGGUCCCUCCUCGGUCAUCUCGUUCAGCAUUUUCUCGGUCCUCGUGAGGACUUUGUCGUCUCAGAGUUUUCUCUCCCUGUCGUGUCCCCUCGUCUCACGUGUCACGGGUGUCUGGGGGUAUUCGGUCCGGAACUGCUCUGCCCUGCCGCCCGGCCCCGUUGCAGGUGUUUAAGGACAAGUCCCGGGCACUUGUAAUUGGAGACUUUUAAUACGGGCUGUAGUUGGAGUCUAGGUAGUAUUCUUAUGUUGGCAGAAGGUGUCUGGAGCUGUGAAGUUACCCUGCAGCACUUCGACCUUUUUCCUAACUUUCUUUCAGAUGCGGAUGGAUCGACCUCCUGGCAGAGCGCCUCGUCCCAGAUGAGGGGAUCCCCCUGAGAAGGAAGUAAAGCCGGAUAGCAGCAGUGAAGGUGAAGCAUUGUGAAGGUGGUCUACUUGCAAGAUAUCCCAGCCCAGGAUGCCAGAGGACAGGUUCCGUGCAGAGAGGCAGAGCCGAAGUUUGCGAUCGGCCGCACCGAAGCCGGCACGGGGGACGUCUCGACGUACACAUCCUAUUGAGGAUGGGUCUUGUCCUAUUACGUUACAAAAGGUCUCUGAUACCUAUUUUCUGAGGAUCUACCAUUUGAUGCUGAGAAGCAGCAGCGAGAAGAUAUCUCGGGGCAUUUUGUUUAGCACAGUGUUUUAAAUAAGGGUUGCGGUCACUGUGUGAGUUAGUCUCCUGCUGUGUGUCAGAGCAUGUCUGUCUGUGAGAGUCGGUGGGUCUGGGUGUGCUUGUGUGUGUGUGCGUGUUGAGCGGUUCUAACCUUGUGUGUAUUGCUUUUGCUUUUCAGGACUUUGAAUUCACAUUUAAAUUUAGAAUAAAAAAUCCCCAGCUGGGGGGGUUUUUUUUUUUCCCCUCCCAGCUGGGGUUUUUUUUCCUCGGUCCCGGCCGGUCUGCGAGGCGACAGUCAUCGCCUAAGUUUGGGCACGGACCGGCCCCGGACCGGGGUUUUCGUCAGGCAGGCUGAUUUUUGAGGCCCCCGGGAACCGAGUUCCCGUGGGGUAGGAGGGGCGGGUGCGUGUUCUGCGGUUCUAACCUUGUGUGUAUUGCUUUUGCUUUUCAGGACUUUGAAUUCACAUUUAAAUUUAGAAUAAAAAAUCCCCAGCUGGGGGGGUUUUUUUUUUUUCCCUCCCAGCUGGGGUUUUUUUUCCUCGGUCCCGGCCGGUCUGCGAGGCGACAGUCAUCGCCUAAGUUUGGGCACGGACCGGCCCCGGACCGGGGUUUUCGUCAGGCAGGCUGAUUUUUGAGGCCCCCGGGAACCGAGUUCCCGUGGGGUAGGAGGGGCGGGUGCGUGUUCUGCGGUUCUAACCUUGUGUGUAUUGCUUUUGCUUUUCAGGACUUUGAAUUCACAUUUAAAUUUAGAAUAAAAAAUCCCCAGCUGGGGGGGUUUUUUUUUUUUCCCUCCCAGCUGGGGUUUUUUUUCCUCGGUCCCGGCCGGUCUGCGAGGCGACAGUCAUCGCCUAAGUUUGGGCACGGACCGGCCCCGGACCGGGGUUUUUGUCAGGCAGGCCGAUUUUGAGGCUCCCGGGAACCACGUUCCUGAGGACCGCUGAUGGCAGGGUUAUAACGGGGCGGUUGAGAGGGGAGUGAAGGUGAGCAUGUGUGCAAGCUGAAGCCGGCUUCUGUGACGAAUGAGUAUUGUGUUUUGUGUGUGCUCGUUGUGGUUUGGGAGAGCGGUAAUAAUGAAACAGCGUGCAUUGUCCUUUUCAGAAAUGGUUAUUUUAUGUUAAUAUGUAUUUGGCUUGUAUUGUUCUGUAUUUGCUGCCAUGUUUCUCUGUAUUAUUCUGUGUGUG